CCGACCUUAGCUCAGUUGGUAGAGCGGAGGACUGUAGUGAUCGCAGAAAAUCCUUAGGUCGCUGGUUCGAAUCCGGCAGGUCGGA
rnacentral:tRNA from 1 species